ACGUGGCUAACUCAGAACCGUGGAGGCUGCCUUUCAAAGUUUCCGCCAAGAUCAUGGGACCCCACCGUCAAGGACUGUGCCUCGGGAUCCGGUUCCCAGGUUCCCAGCACACAGUCAAGCCCCAGAGCUGAACCAGCAGCCCAGCGGAGCAGCCUUCAGCUCAGGCCUCCUGCAGUCUUCAGCCAGGAGAUGGUGGGGUUCGUCUCCAACUCCUGACCUCAAGCGAUCCUUCUGCCUCAGCCUUUCAAAGCACUGGGAUGUCAAGUGUGAGCCACCACUCCUGGCCACAUAUGCUUCUCUCCAGAACCUUGAACAUGUCAAGUCUUCUCAUUUUUGGAAGUCAUACGCUUUUCACUGUCUGGAGAACCAGGAAUCCAAAUGUCAGAGCCCUGAUGGCCAUGUUUUUCUAGUAUUUUCAAUGUGCUUCUUCAAGUGCAAAAGGAUCAAGGCUUGGAAGAGGCAUUCACCUUACUUAGUCAUCCAGCUCUGGAGACAAUGAAGAUAGUCCCAGCCCACCUCCCACUUAGAUGGCAAUCCACUUCCCUAGAAAGCACAGGGGUGUUGGAGCGAAGAACAUGCCUUGUAACCACAACCAAUGAAACCACACGACAGCAUGGCAGGGCCUUCACUGAAGACAAAAGUAGCUGUUGACUUGGCAUUUAUUUCUGUGUAAGCAUUUGAAAAACAGACCCAAAAGGAAGCACCUGUGUGGCAGUCCCAUAUUUGUACCCAAGAAGUUCUCAUACAUGUGGUACAGGCUUUGGGGUCAGAUAGAUCUGGGAUCAUAUCCCAACACUACCUCCUUCUAGAGUUUGGAAAGGGGCAAGUUCCUUCGCUUCCCUGAACCUCAGGUUUCUCAUCUAUCAAGUGGAAACAAUGCUGUUUACCUGGUGGGGUCACUGUGAGGACUGGAGAGGGAGCUGAGGGCCUGGCAUGGCAGAGAUUGGCAAGGAGUGGGUGCUUGGUGAGGAAUAGCCACAUGCAAAGGAGAAGCA